rnacentral:rRNA from 1 species
UACGGGAGGCAGCAGGGGGGAAUAUUGGACAAUGGGGGCAACCCUGAUCCAGCAAUGCCGCGUGUGUGAAGAAGGCCUUCGGGUUGUAAAGCACUUUCAGAUGUGAGGAAAGGUUACCGGUUAAUACCCUGUAACUGUGACGUUAACAUCAGAAGAAGCACCGGCUAACUCCGUGCCAGCAGCCGCGGUAAUACGGAGGGUGCAAGCGUUAAUCGGAAUUACUGGGCGUAAAGCGCGCGUAGGCGGUUUAUUAAGUCAGAUGUGAAAGCCCCGGGCUUAACCUGGGAAUGGCAUUUGAGACUGGUAGGCUAGAGUGUGGUAGAGGUGAGUGGAAUUUCAGGUGUAGCGGUGAAAUGCGUAGAGAUCUGAAGGAACAUCAGUGGCGAAGGCGACUCACUGGGCCAUUACUGACGCUGAGGUGCGAAAGCGUGGGUAGCAAACAGGAUUAGAUACCCUGGUAGUCCACGCCCUAAACGAUGUCAACUAGGUGUAUGGAGAA